rnacentral:lncRNA from 1 species
GCUGAAGGAGGUAUUGUGAGAGACUGCAGCCAAAACUCCAUCUUGAUAACAUUUUUAUGGGGGUGAAACUACAAAGAGUAACUCAGCAGUUGCCAGCAAGGCUGUGUUAGCAGGAGAGAAUAGCCAGAAGCAGACUUGCAUCCCUUCUGAGGACAGUUCUUGUCUCCGCUCUGUAGAAGUUCUUGACACAAAUCCCCUGAAGACAGGGAAGGAAAGCAGCAAGGCAAGCUCCUGCUGGGCUCACUGAGCAAGCUGGCAGCACUCCCCUGGAACUGGGAUGCCUUUUGCUGCAAAGAACAGGAAGCCAAGGGUCAUAUAACGUGGAAAACCCUCAGCCAGGGCCCUGAGGCUAAAUGUCUUGGAGCCAGAAGCCUGGAUAAAAAAGCC